AUGACCGUCAUAUGUUCCAAGUGCUUUUCUGAUAUAGUACAACACAUGCAGAGAAUAUACAGAAAAGGGACGCUCGAUUUCCUCGCCGCAGCAGCGCAGUUCACAGCAAACGGGGAGAAGUUCGCACUUCUUCUUCUACUUCUUCUACUUCUUCUUCUACUUCUUCUUCUUCUUCGGCCCAGCGGGCUGCGAACGGGGACGUCAUGGCGACCGAGCAACAAGUUUAAAAAAAGCAGCAACACACGGCGGAGCGCACAGGGAAGUGAGCACAGGGCCGGUUGUGGGUUUGUUAAGUGACUCCUCUUACCUUAAGCAAACGAGGCAGCGGCGGCUCUCGGACGCAUAAUAAUCCUCCGAACGGACGACCUCCGGAGCUGGGCCGACACGACCUUUCUUGAAAAGUACCGGAGAGUGUGUUGUACAGGGAAGUGGGUGAGCGGCGGCGGCGUGGUUCUCCUCCUCCUCCCCGUCGAGAAACACGAGAAGCGCUCGCACUUUGUUACAGUUGUUACUGUUUCCCAGGACAACUCCGGCGGGGGGCGGAGUCAGCACGAGGCUAUUCUAAGCUCUGCGGCACUUUAAUUUUACACGACAGGAAGUACGUUCCGUACAGUCGCGAGAUAGGCAGCCACACAAAGCUUCCGCGAAGGGGUUUUAUUCCGUGGUUCAUUCACUCGUGUUUUCAUUUUACGAGCGCAUUUAUUGUAUUGUACUUUUGUGAGUGGGGACACGGGUGUCGCGGUCACAUUUCUGGAGCAGGAUGCGGCGAGCGAUGUUCUUUCCGGGCUUCUGUUUUUCACAAUAAAGGUUGGACAUCCUCACAAUAAUAAUAAUCACUGAUGCCAAUCCAUUUUGUAAAAUGGGCCCUUUGUUGAAUUAAAUGAACAAAUUGUGAUGAGUUACAUGCAUCAUUCAACUUCUGACUUCUUUAUUUAUUUUUUUCAAUCAUUCUGACGCUUUCCUUUGUUCCAGCAGUGUAAAAUGCUUUAAAAACCCUGCUGCAAUCCAACAUCAACAUGACCCUCUAAACACCUCGCAAACUGGACCUCGACCCCGCUGCAGGCAGCUCAACUGCUGCCAUGCUUCAACUCAGUGUACUGUGAUUGUGAAGGUAAAAGUGGAGUACACAACAUAAAUCGUAUCUCAAUAGAGGAAGGUAGCUGUGGAAAUAGUGUUAUUGCACACCAUUUAGUCGUUACUUAACUAACUAUAAAAAAAACUGAAUAUGCGAACUGUGCUCACCUUGAUGUGCUGCUCUGUUCACACUCUCUUACUGUUUCCUCCAGCGCUGCACAUUUCCCCGCCACUGUAAAUUGAUAAUUGCUUUAUUCUAUGUUCCAAAUAAUAAUAAUUUAAAAAAGCCACUGUGCAUUACACCUCGCGGAAAAGGCGUUAGAGUCACUAAACAUGGAUUAAAACGAAUUAACUCUAGCUGAAGGACACUAACUUCCCCUUUUCAGUACACCGCGUCCCAAGGAAUAUCAUCUAGGCCUAAAUGCCACGGUGAAUUGAGGCUAUACAGCAUAAUAAAGGUCACUGAUGAUAUCAGACACAUUACACGACUCCGUAGGAGCAGUAGAAAAGUAUCAUGUAGUGGUCAAUAUUGUGGGCCAAGUAGUCAGAGGUGGAAACCAUAUCCCACCGUAAUUAAAGUGUGAAUCACAUAUACUUUGGCUGGUCCAGUGGUGCGAACAUUAGGUGGGCGUUUAUGUAUUGCUCAAUAGGGAGGUUUCAUUGCUGUCUCAUCAUGACUGCAGACUGUAUCACCUUUUAACAUCAGGAUGAAAAAACUCUUGUGGUUUGAGCUGCCCUCUGCUGGUUCACGGGACGCCUGCACUAACGUGUUCAAGCAGGAACUCAUGUACUGCACAAGGGUCCAGGGAUGUGGUUUUGUCUUACUUAUUUAUGAAACGGAUCCAAGCACAGUAGUGUUUACCUCUCAUCAUUGAGUAUCUGUACUUGACUGAAAUGGUUUACCUGUUAUUCAGAAACUAUAGCACUGUUACGCAUUCAAAUGCCUCUACUCCUCAGCAGCCCACUGGUGAGAAAUGUUUUCUACUAGACUUUGAGUGUUUGUGACACACACACACACACACACACACACACACACACACACCCACCCACCCACCCACCCACCCACACACACACACACACACACACACACACACACACACACACACUUUAGAAGGACUCAGUGAGAAUAACCUUAAUUUUCUUCAGGUUUCUAUAUGCAGAAGAGCAAUGCUGAAAAGGAGAAUUCAUUCUGCCAGCUUUAAAUGACCAAAUUAAGUUUUGUGCCAGUCAUUAUUUCUCUUCUCUUUUUUUUUUUUUAAUAAUUGAAAUGAAAUUUCAUAAGAGCUUGCAAAGAAACAUCACAUAUUCAAAGUGGAGGACACAUUAGAUAAUGAUGUGUUUAAAGUCACCCCUCUCCAUGUUAGGGUCAGUCUAUGUUUUUGAGUGACAUCCAUUGAACAGAGCCCUUUAGUUUGUGGCUAUGAAAAAGAACAUUCAGUGGCUUUUAGUCAAGCGUUGCUAGCAUGUGAGCCCACACAUCCGGAUGAAAUCACUGUUAAUAAUUUAAGAGUGGUCCCUGGGGCAGGAAAGGAUUUUUUGUAUGACGCAGGCAGGAAGUCUGAGAUAACUCAUACUCGCAGAUUCUAAGUAAUGUAUUUUGAUAAUUUUAUAAGCCCGCUAGGAGUCCAGACUGAUGGUGUGAGAGGAAGGCUGACCUGAUCAGGCCUCAUUCAGACAUCUGUCGACGAUCCACUCUCAGCAUAGUUCAUCUGCUGGAAUGGAUCGUGACUGUGACAAAACCAUUACGGAUGAAUCACACCGUUGUCUGCUGGCUUUUCCAAAUAAAUGCCUGUUGCCAUGAAGAGAAAAACCACAAUAAACACCCCGUCUCCCGCCAUGGAGUGUCUUCAGCUGCAGCAGGCGGAACACAGAGUCCUACGCGUAAGCCUGAUGGAUAGCGGGGGGAAUAAAAUACAAUUUCUGCACGUUUGUGGAACAGUUGGUAUUUACUCCAUUUUUGUGUUUGUACGAGAAGGAAAUCGCUGAUGAUUUUGAAAGGGACGCAGGCCGUUAUGUUCCAUGUUCAAAUUGGAACAGCCAAUUGAGCCAUGAAGAUAUGACAAACCGAAAGCUCAACCUCUCGCAAAACAAACUGGUAUCUGGCACGCAUCAAGCACACACACACACACACAGUUAUCAACACACCAGGUGUACACUUUCCAUCACAGCUGAACCGCAGAACGGUUGGUACGACGGCAAGCAUCCAGCCCUCCUGCCCAUCACAGGCAUCUGAGCUCCGAGCAUUGUCUCUCUCCAAGCACCUGUAACCCGCCGACGCGUAGACAAACGGCAGGCGGUGUUGAGAAGACUGCCCGUCCACCACCAUGCUGAGCUGCCCUCACACACAUUAUUGCAGUGUGGAGCGGGGGGGGGUGUCGAAGCAGGGCAGUGUACGGGCGAGACAGGGGAAACAACCAGGCCCAAAGAAGUACAUAGAUGCCUUUGUGCAGUGAUAAAGAGAGGUGUUGUAAGUUGGAGGACUUGGAUGGAAGCGAUAGGGCUGGGAGAAAAACAACCCCGGCAAGAGUAAACACUUGGACGAGAGAGAGAGAGAGGGAUGGAGCGAGAGGCAUAUCAUUUGGCUGAAGUGCCUUCAGAGAGCUGAAUAUGCUGUCUCAUAAUUCACCCCCAAAGCUUCUUACAGCUUCGUACUGUCCACAUUUCUCUUCACUCAGUCUGGGCCCCGAUGAUUUUGUUGUUUUUCUUCA
ensembl:lncRNA